UACGGAGGGUGCAAGCGUUAUCCGGAUUCACUGGGUUUAAAGGGUGCGUAGGAGGGCAGGUAAGUCAGUGGUGAAAUCUCCAAGCUUAACUUGGAAACUGCCGUUGAUACUAUCUGUCUUGAAUAUUGUGGAGGUGAGCGGAAUAUGCCAUGUAGCGGUGAAAUGCUUAGAUAUGACAUAGAACACCAAUUGCGAAGGCAGCUCACUACACAAUCAUUGACUCUGAGGCACGAAAGCGUGGGGAUCAAACAGG
rnacentral:rRNA from 1 species